rnacentral:lncRNA from 1 species
AAAAUUACAAGAAUUACAAGGACCAAAUUGAAAGCAGCCUUUACAACUGGAAAACGGAGUCGUAUUGCAGCGACUGUUCACCGUCUUCUUGCUCUGCAACGGCUCCGCCAUUAAGGCAGAGACGUUUCAUCCGUUGGCAGCAACGCUUACGUUUGAUCAUGGAAGGCGACCAGUUACAGGGCAUUUAGGAGGCGACCGUUACAGCGCCAAUCGAUCUCUGGCCUUAUAAAAGCUGGGCAAAGGCAAACUCGCAGGGGGGCAGGACUGAGGGAGAAACAAAAGAACAGGAAGAAAACGAAACAGAAACAGGGAAAGAAAAACUGAGAAAAAAAACUGGGGGGGGAAGACAAGAGAGACCACGAGCAGCGGAGGAAGAAAGCAGCUAGCCCACCAGUCCUCCAUCACGUUUCCGUUUCUCUGCUUCCAGAGAGGAAGUAACACCGGGAACACAACAAGACGCAAGAACAGAAACUGUACAGAGGGGAGCAAGUUUUCUGCCCCUGUUCUUCUCACGGAAACAGAAGCGUUCGUGCCUCACGAUCGUGAGGCACGAACGCGUGAAGAAAGGCCAUUCUCUGGCCACAGCAGGGGAAACACGGAACCAAGGACAUACAGAGAGCAGAGAGAACCCGAAGAAAAACCAGGGGAAAGGAGACUAGACAGAGAAAGAAAAACAGAUAUAUAGAGAGAGAGGGAGAGACUUCUGAGAGCAGAAGAAAGCAAGAGAUAAAGAGAAAGAAGGGAGAGAACGUCGCCCGGUCAGCCCUCCAUCACCGUCAUCCUCAUCUCCCAGUGCAGCGCCAGCGUUAGAAGGGAGAGAACGUCACCCGGCCAGCCCUCCAUCACCGUCAUCGUCAUCUUCAAGGCGCCAGGUAAGUUGCUCUUUCCUUCCGUUUAUUUUAAUUACAUGCUCCUGUAAAAAAAUUAAAAAAUGGCUAGCCGGG